rnacentral:misc_RNA from 1 species
UCCCCGUUCUCCUGGGCCGAUGUUUCCACCGGCUUUCCCGUGCAUGUCAAGCCCAGGUAAGGUUCUUCGCGUUGCUUCGAAUUAAACCACAUGCUCCACCGCUUGUGCGGGCCCCCGUCAAUUCCUUUGAGUUUCAGCCUUGCGGCCGUACUCCCCAGGCGGGGCACUUACUGCGUUAGCGACGGCACCGGGAGGGUCGCUCCCCCCGACGCCUAGUGCCCAUCGUUUACGGCGUGGACUAC